rnacentral:rRNA from 1 species
UACGUAGGGUGCAAGCGUUAAUCGGAAUUACUGGGCGUAAAGCGUGCGCAGGCGGUUUUGUAAGUCUGUCGUGAAAUCCCCGGGCUCAACCUGGGAAUUGCGAUGGAGACUGCAAGGCUAGAAUCUGGCAGAGGGGGGUAGAAUUCCACGUGUAGCAGUGAAAUGCGUAGAGAUGUGGAGGAACACCGAUGGCGAAGGCAGCCCCCCUGGGUCAAGAUUGACGCU